CUCACUGACAUGUGAUCAGCGGCAGCCCACUGGUAUCGAUUGCAGUCCGUGCUGUUUAUCGAUUCAAAUUGUACGGCGGUUAUAUUUGCGAACGGGGUGGUCGUUUCCUUUGAGCAGCAUCACGCAGGUUCAUUUUAAUUAGAUAUCAAUAAUACCUCAGCCAGUUUAUGCGUCCAACAUUCGAUAGCUGCCACCAAGCGAACGUGUUUAAAGACGGUGAACUUAUCAGCUGCGGCGUUUCACUGGCGGCUACGUGCACGGCUUCCGCCGUUUGUGAUCUGCCGCGUCUGGCCGCGUUGCGUGUGGUUGCUCGAAAAAACGUGCUGGCCAGCACGAAAAUUCAUCGCUGGAACCGAGCACAGUCUGCUUGAAGACUACCCACGAAAGCGGAUUAACCUUGCAGCCCCUGGGCUUGUGCGCCGCCUCCAAGACGCUGCUCAUAUUUGGACUCAUCCCUUUGGACUCCAUUGUCUCUGGACAUAGAAGUCAACCGUGAACGUGUCUCCACUGGAAGUAACAUCAAGGGCCAGAAUCCUCACAGGGAAGACGGACAAAAGAGAGAUUAUUGGUCUGCAAGCUGCCCACGCUAAGCCACAAGAUGCUCAACUGUCACCACAAUGACAACAGGUCCUCUUGAACUACGUGCCUCACUAUGAAAUGUUUGGAAGUUUACCAGAUAGAGAGGUGUGAGCCCUAUUAGGAAAACAGCAGUCUACAGUUUUGUAUCAUACUGAGCGGGAAUGAGAAAUUUGACAUACAAGCUUAGUUGCUUUUAAGGGCGCUUUAUGACAAUCGGAGAAGUAACAUGUUGAGUCCCAACUUGUUUCUUUUGCAGUCAUUAUAGCCAUGACGACCAGAACAGAAACAAUGUAGCAAGCUCCUACUUGCUAAUGCACAAACUCUGUCAUCUGCUCUUUGCAAAUCAAUUUGACGGGCAUUAGUACCACGAAGUAUCACAUGCUCCCUCACAACGAUAAUUUGUUACAUGAAAAUGCAAAGAAUUUUAAAAUGAUCAAAAGCGCUUAAUGCAAUUUUAAGGAAAUGACACUUCAUGUUGACUGAAACUCAUUUUAUUUUUUGCUUAAAGUACCCUCAGGGCCAGGGGCUUUAAAGAGGGGAGUGGUUACAAAGUAGUAGAGUAAAACAAACAAGUGCAUUGAGUUCUUGUAACAUAAUGAUUCUCCUGAUUAUACAAUGUUAGCUAAUGUUUUGCAAAAAAGUUUGUUAUCUGUGAUGGCUACGAUACUUGGUGGUUCCAUUUCUGAGAUGUACGGGGCAUGAAAGAAAGACUUCGUGUUACAUGAAUCAAUUCCUACUUUACUGCGAUGAUCGACGCAGUUUGAAAUGCACUGAGGCCGCAGAAUGAAGUCGUCAUGAAGUGUGGUGUGAUAGAAAAUUUUAUGAAAUAGCAAACGAUGGCCGACUUUACGGUGAUUAGCUAGUGGAAUGAGUGCUAGGCCAGUUUACAUUGAAGUUAUACUCGCAGUACGGUUAUAAUUAGAAAUAAUGAAACGAGUAUAGUUAUUUUGUACUCGUUCAAGUGAAGUAAUAAGAUUAACGCGACUGGGAUCUCGUAUUGCAGAUGCAUAUUCAAGUUUCCAGCGAAUUAGUCUUGUAAAGCUGUCGUUCUAAAGUAGACGGUGCUUUGGAAAAGUUACGCCUCAAGUACCCGAGCAUGUGAUUAGCACUGCUAAUGACGUACUCUAUAUUAUUGGUCCAAUUUAAGUUAUUUAUAUGACAUGACAAAAUCUAAGGGAAAGUUAGCAUGGCAAGUGCUAGGAUUAGAAUUAGAUCUGGAAAUGCGCAUGAUUUUACAUUUGCUUACAAGAGGCUCAUAUACAGUUUGCAUGAAAUCAAUAACUAGGCUAGUACUGCACCAUAAGAGAUAGCUAGAAAAGGCAAGCUCACACAACCGGCCAGCCUAUUUCACACUUCACAAACUUGAGAAAUCACUAAAAGCAAAUUUUCUUUCUCUUCAAACAGCAGAUGACAAAACCUGCGCACGGUGUGCUCCCAAAAAUAUUUUGAAAUGUACUCGUAGAAUAAGUUCAGCUUAACAUUCAGCUAAUCAACAGUGAACAGGCAAGGGAAACCUCAGCGUGGGAACUGUUCUUCGUCUCGGCCCUCACAAAUAUGUUUGCUUGGUGAAACGCUGGCUCCAAGCUGAGGCUUCUCUUGGUCACCUGUUACUCAACUGAAGUGUUCAUCUCCUUGCAACCUCUUUGCUGUGUUUGAAUACAUAUACCGAGAUUAUUUUUCACCAUGAAACCACAAAUUACAUUUUCCAAGGAUCUGUGAGCAUUAAUUGGGCUUGCUUAUAUGUUGAUUUAGUGCCCUUGUUUAUUCACACAAUAUUUCCAGAAGUCCUUGUAAGCACUGCUGUCUCCAUAACGUUCCUUGGUUUCCUUACAAGUACUCUACUUGUGUCAAAGCCUUUGCUGCCGCACCUGAGCACUAAAUGUGCAGCAGAAAAAUAUCAAGAGCAGGAAAUGUGAUGUAAAAUUUAGCAUAACGCCCCCCUCCUACACUUCGUGCCUCUCGCCAAUGUGUUAUGAGAGCUAUGAGACAUUGCAGCUCGAGCUUAUCUUGCUGACAGUACAUUUUUGCCGAGAAAUUUUUCGUGUUCCUUUCUUUAAUCUAGCUGAAAUCGUCGAACGCAGAGAAUCUGUGUUUCUGUAUGUUGUAAACUCAGUGACGGACAACAUUAAGUCCACCUGAGCUGUACGAAAAUUGUGAUCAUGUACUGCCUCAUUCACCAUUGACAAUAAACAAUGUGAGCUUACUUGUUUGAAGUGUUUUAUUGCCAGUUGAGGCCUUUCGGUCACCUGGCGACAUAAUGAAGAUAUCUGUAGUCAUGUUAGAGUACAGUACACACGAAUACCUCCCCGAAAGCGGUAACAAAACGCCCCAAACCAGCGAGCGAGCAGCGCGACCAGCCCUACGAACCGCUACCGUAGCGGCCAUAUUGCUCACUACCUAAUGAUGAUGAUAUUAGUUUCGAUUCUGCCAGCGCCAUCUCUCGGUCGCAUACUUUAGUUCACAACGCCACCGCUACGCUUAUUUUCGUUGCACUGUGGAAGGUACAGUUUCCCUUCUCUAAGUUUGUAUGGGUGUUCU